GAUUCGUCACACUAUCAUUAACUGAAUCCAUAGGUUAAUGAGGCGAACCGGGGGAACUGAAACAUCUAAGUACCCCGAGGAAAAGAAAUCAACCGAGAUUCCCCCAGUAGCGGCGAGCGAACGGGGAGGAGCCCAGAGCCUGAAUCAGCAUGUGUGUUAGUGGAAGCGUCUGGAAAGGCGCGCGAUACAGGGUGACAGCCCCGUACACAAAAGCGCAUGUGCUGUGAGCUCGAUGAGUAGGGCGGGACACGUGGUAUCCUGUCUGAAUAUGGGGGGACCAUCCUCCAAGGCUAAAUAC
rnacentral:rRNA from 1 species